GUCGUUGUAGUUUAAUGAAAACCUAGGUUUGUGGGGCCUGAGAUGUGCAAGUGCACUGAUGACC